rnacentral:rRNA from 1 species
UUCCUUUAGGGUGAACCUGCGGAGGGAUCAUUACCGAGUUUACAACUCCCAAACCCAAUGUGAACGUUACCAAACUGUUGCCUCGGCGGGAUCUCUGCCCCGGGUGCGUCGCAGCCCCGGACCAAGGCGCCCGCCGGAGGACCAACCAAAACUCUUAAUUGUAUACCCCCUCGCGGGUUUUUUUAUAAUCUGAGCCUUCUCGGCGCCUCUCGUAGGCGUUUCGAAAAUGAAUCAAAACUUUCAACAACGGAUCUCUUGGUUCUGGCAUCGAUGAAGAACGCAGCGAAAUGCGAUAAGUAAUGUGAAUUGCAGAAUUCAGUGAAUCAUCGAAUCUUUGAACGCACAUUGCGCCCGCCAGUAUUCUGGCGGGCAUGCCUGUCCGAGCGUCAUUUCAACCCUCGAACCCCUCCGGGGGGUCGGCGUUGGGGAUCGGCCCUGCCUUGGCGGUGGCCGUCUCCGAAAUACAGUGGCGGUCUCGCCGCAGCCUCUCCUGCGCAGUAGUUUGCACACUCGCAUCGGGAGCGCGGCGCGUCCACAGCCGUUAAACACCCAACUUCUGAAAUGUUGACCUCGGAUCAGGUAGGAAACCCCGAU